GACGAACGCUGGCGGCGUGCUUAACACAUGCAAGUCGAGCGGGGAGCUUCGGCUCCUAGCGGCGAACGGGUGAGUAACACGUGGGCAACCUGCCCCGAGCUCUGGAAUAACCUCGGGAAACCGGGGCUAAUGCCGGAUAUGACACUACUGGGCAUCUGGUGGUGUGGAAAGAUUUAUCGGCUCGGGAUGGGCCCGCGGCCUAUCAGCUUGUUGGUGGGGUGAUGGCCUACCAAGGCGACGACGGGUAGCCGGCCUGAGAGGGCGACCGGCCACACUGGGACUGAGACACGGCCCAGACUCCUACGGGAGGCAGCAGUGGGGAAUAUUGCGCAAUGGGCGAAAGCCUGACGCAGCGACGCCGCGUGAGGGAUGACGGCC
rnacentral:rRNA from 3 species